rnacentral:rRNA from 1 species
UACGGAGGGUGCAAGCGUUAUCCGGAUUCACUGGGUUUAAAGGGUGCGUAGGUGGGAUGGUAAGUCAGUGGUGAAAUAUCCCGGCUUAACCGGGAGGGUGGCAUUGAUACUGAUUGACUUGAGUAGAGUUGAGGUAGGCGGAAUUGACGGUGUAGCGGUGAAAUGCUUAGAUAUCGUCAAGAACACCGAUAGCGAAGGCAGCUUACUAAGCUCAAACUGACGCUGAUGCGCGAAAGCCAGGGGAGCAAACGGG